CGAGUGGCGGACGGGUGAGUAAUGCAUCGGGACCUACCCAGACGUGGGGGAUAACGUAGGGAAACUUACGCUAAUACCGCAUACGUCCUACGGGAGAAAGCGGGGGACCUUCGGGCCUCGCGCGUUUGGACGGACCGAUGUUCGAUUAGCUAGUUGGUAGGGUAAUGGCCUACCAAGGCGACGAUCGAUAGCUGGUCUGAGAGGAUGAUCAGCCACACUGGAACUGAGACACGGUCCAGACUCCUACGGGAGGCAGCAGUGGGGAAUAUUGGACAAUGGGCGCAAGCCUGAUCCAGCAAUGCCGCGUGUGUGAAGAAGGCCUUCGGGUUGUAAAGCACUUUUAUCGGGAGCGAAAUACCAUCGGUUAAUAACCGGUGGGGCUGACGGUACCCGAGGAAUAAGCACCGGCUAACUUCGUGCCAGCAGCCGCGGUAAUACGAAGGGUGCAAGCGUUAAUCGGAAUUACUGGGCGUAAAGGGUGCGUAGGCGGUUGGUUAAGUCUGUUGUGAAAUCCCCGGGCUCAACCUGGGAAUGGCAAUGGAUACUGGCCAGCUAGAGUGUGUCAGAGGAUGGUGGAAUUUCCGGUGUAGCGGUGAAAUGCGUAGAGAUCGGAAGGAACAUCAGUGGC
rnacentral:rRNA from 1 species